rnacentral:rRNA from 1 species
UACGUAGGGUGCAAGCGUUGUCCGGAAUUAUUGGGCGUAAAGCGCACGUAGGCGGCUUCUUAAGUCGGUGGUGAAAUCCUGGAGCUCAACUCCAGAACUGCCUUCGAUACUGGGAAGCUCGAGUCCGGGAGAGGUGAGUGGAACUGCGAGUGUAGAGGUGAAAUUCGUAGAUAUUCGCAAGAACACCAGUGGCGAAGGCGGCUCACUGGCCCGGUACUGACGCUGAGGUGCGAAAGCGUGGGGAGCAAACAGG